GCCAGGGUGGCUUAAUGGUUAGAGCAUCCGCCUCGGAUGCGGGAGAUCGUGAGAUUGUUACCCCAACCA